rnacentral:lncRNA from 1 species
GUACGAGCUAUAGUAGCUAGCUAAUUUAGCAACUACUGUACUUGUGUAGUUAGCAAAUUGUGUGUGGUUGUGUGAGAAGAGAGAGCUCACACACACAGGGAGAGGAGAGAGCGUGAGAGAAAGGAAUGAGCACUGUGUGUGUGAGAUAGGGAAAGGGGAGUGUGUGUGUGUGUGUGUGUGUGUGUGUGUGUGUGAGAGCAAAGGGGAGGAGUGUGUGUGUGUGUGUGUGUGUGUUGGAGAGAGGGAGAGUGUGUGCGUGACAGAGACACACAGUAUGUGUGUGUGUGUGUGAGAGAGAGAGGGGGGGGAAAGGGGUGUGUGUGUAAGAACUGUACGAGCUAUAGUAGCUAGCUAAUUUAGCAACUACUGUACUUGUGUAGUUAGCAAAUUGUGUGUGGUUGUGUGAGGAGAGAGCUCACACACACAGGGAGAGGAGAGAGCGUGAGAGAAAGGAAUGAGCACUGUGUGUGUGUGAGAUAGAGAGAGAGGAGGGAAAGGGGGUGUGUGUGUGUGUGUGUGUGUGUGUGUGUGUGUGUGUGUGUGUGAGAUAGAGAGGAGGGAAAGGUGUUUGUUUGUGGUGUGUGUGUGUGUGUGUGUGUGUGUGUGUGUGUGUGUGUGUGUGUGUGUGUUAGAGAGAGGAGUGGUCUGUGUGUGAGGGACUAGUGUGUUUAUGUGUAACCAAGAAAUGUGUGGGGGUGUGUGUGUUUGUAGAAGGGAUAAAGCAAAGGGGAUGAUUGUGUGUGAGAGAGAGAGAGAGAAUGUGUUUCUGACUUUCCAUUAGUGUGUUGUCUUCUAAGUAGAAAGAAUAGUUUAGUAAGAGACUAACAUUUUGUGGUAUCAUAUUUUGUGUGUGUGAGAGAUUUGAGUUUUUGUUUAGUGAUUUUAAACUGACAGUGAAGACUAGUGAAGAAAAGUGUGUGUGUCUGUCUUUAAGAAAUGGAGUGAUAGAGUGUGUUUGUGACGAAGAGAGAAGGGGAGGGUGUGGGGGGGGGGGUGUGUUACACACCGAGAGUGUGUGUGUGUGUUUAAAGGGAAGAGAGC